rnacentral:rRNA from 1 species
UACCAGCACCCCGAGUGGUCGGGACGAUUAUUGGGCCUAAAGCAUCCGUAGCCGGUCCUACAAGUCUUCCGUUAAAUCCACCUGCUUAACAGAUGGGCUGCGGAAGAUACUAUAGGGCUAGGAGGCGGGAGAGGCAAGCGGUACUCGAGUGGGUAGGGGUAAAAUCCUCUGAUCCAUUGAAGACCACCAGUGGCGAAGGCGGCUUGCCAGAACGCGCUCGACGGUGGAGG